GUAAAGAGUUAACAAAUGUAAAAUACCUUAUUCAGUGAAAUACUGAAAUAAACUGAAAUACUUCAACUGAAAGUCAAUUUAAGUCACCUUUAUUAACAUUUUCUUUAAGGGAUUAAAACUGGUAAGAUCCAUAGCUGUAUCUCAGAUAUGAUCUUCACAAGUUAAAAUCUUCAAAACACAGUAUAGAAGUAUAUCUAGGUAAAGAUGAGAAGGAAGUUUCUUCGUGCCCUCAGGCUUCUACAAAAAUCUAUGUUUGAAUAAUGGAUGUAUUUAUCUUGUGUUUUUUUUUUUUUAAGCAAAACAACCAUUGAGAAACAGGUUUAGUGACUUUGGCUUAUGUCAACUAAACUCAGUUCACUUACUGGACCUAUUUGAAGGCUAAUGACUAUCAGAAGUACUAUGACUUCUCAACUCAAAAGCAUUAUAAAGUGUACCAAAUGCUGAUACAGUGUAAUGAAAGAAGAGCCUUCAGAAUACCUUAAGGAGCUCCUGAAA
rnacentral:lncRNA from 1 species